GGAGGGGUGGCCGAGCGGUUGAAGGCGCACGCCUGGAACGCGUGUAUAUGUUGCAAGAUGUAUCAAGGGUUCGAAUCCCUUUCCCUCCGCCA
rnacentral:tRNA from 1 species